AUUGAACGCUGGCGGCAGGCCUAACACAUGCAAGUCGAGCGAGCGGCGGACGGGUGAGUAAUGUCUGGGAAACUGCUUGAUGGAGGGGGAUCACUAAUGGAAACGGUAGCUAAUACCGCAUACCAUCAGAUGUGCCCAGGUGGGAUGAGUUAGGAGGUUGGGUAACGGCUCACCUAGGCGACGAUCCCUAGCUGGUCGUGGAGGAUGACCAGCCACACUGGAACUGAGACACGGUCCAGACUCCUACGGGAGGCAGCAGUGGGGAAUAUUGCACAAUGGGCGAAAGCCUGAUGCAGCCAUGCCGCGUGUGUGAAGAAGGCCUUCGGGUUGUAAAGCACUGUCAGCGGGGAGGCGUUACCCGCAGAAGAAGCACCGGCUAACUCCGUGCCAGCCGCCGCGGUAAUAC
rnacentral:rRNA from 1 species